CAGGCAGUGGUUUCACCAGUAGCAGCCUCCCCCGUUUUUUUGCAGGUAGGAUUUUUUCAGGAAGGAUUUAACGGAGACUCAUGCAUAGGUGAUAUAGCCCAUACAAAAUAUAGAGGAGAGAUUUUUGCAUCCAGAAGCAGGCGUGCACAUGGGAAUGUGCUAAGAGCCUCAACAGAACGGAAGAGAAUAUAUUUAUGCCAAGCCACUUAGGCUUGGAAAUAGGCAGUGCUUUUACUUUAACAAUUUGCAGAUAAAGCACAAUGAGAUCCCUAUUUUUUUUUAAUAAAACCAAUGUUUUAGUGGUAUUCUGGGGCAGUAUUAUGGGGUUGGGUCUGCACUGCCCGCAUCCUGGAAGACCCUGGGCUGCAGAAGGCAGGCUGGGGAGUGAUGGAGAUGCGGCCAGGGCAAGACCCACAGGGCAGCGAUUUCCUCCUGCUGUGACCCCCACAGACAGCACAGCAUCUGCCAGCCUUGUUCCCAUCGUCACAGCUUCCAUCAUUUACAUUAUGAACAUGUGCACCAUCUGAGAUCUGGGAUCCUGGCAUAUCAUGCUGACUGAUGAUGACCUCCGUGUCAUCAGUGGAGUUUCACCCUUUGGUUUCCCCAAAGGCUUUGAAUGUAUCUUCUAUCUAUACAAUGGAAGGAAAGCAACUGGACUUUAAGAAAUAGUUUGGGUACAAACAACCCCCCUUCUUUCAGCCAAAUCCAUCGCAGAAUUCCCUUGAAGACAAAUAUCAUUAUGGCAUGAAAUUAAAAACAAAUCAGAGAGCUAGUUUUAUCUGCGUUCCUGGAAAGGCAAUGGUUAUGAACCAAGUUUGACCAUUUCCAUCCAGCUCCCAGUGAACGAGCAUCUAAUCACAAAAACUAUCAGACAAAUACGUUGGCACAGACCCAAGAUUGAAUGGCUGUUGAGAAAGCGACUUGCUCUUACUCUUGAGGAUGUCAACACUAUGGCUCCCACUGUGCCUGCAGCUUGUACAGACAUACCCAAAGUAGCUUUAAACUAGCUUGCUGUUAGGAAUGUAACUUUUGACAGCACAGAGCUCAGCAUAGGCUGCAAAACUCACCUGAAAAGCUGGGUAGACAACUCACGAGGAGCUUUGUGCUAUCAUGGGUACACUGCUAGCAGGACCUUAGGUGGCUAGUUUGAAGCUAGGUCAGGUCUGUCUACAUGAGCUGCACUGCCAGCACUGUAGUCAUGCUCUUAGGAACAGCAUCCCUUGUUGAAUUAAAGCAUUUCCACUAUAAACUUGCUUUGCUGUUGGUUGUGUUGUGGAUAAACGAGAGUCCAUGAGAACCUCCCAUCUGAUGAACGCUAAUGUUUAUCCAGAAAGGGUUGAGUUAAUUUUUUCGAGAAGUGUUAUACGGGCAUCUCUGUCUGCUAAGUGGCGGUGGCACAUGGGGUAACAUCAGUAGCUGUGCUGCCAGCAGCAGCAGUGGUGAAUAGGCUAGUAACACAGCAGCUGUUAUUUUUGCACCCCUUAAAACCCUUAACUUGGGGCCAGGAGCUGGUUCCUCUGUUGCCUC
rnacentral:lncRNA from 1 species